rnacentral:pre_miRNA from 1 species
UACCCUGCUGCAGAGAGUGGCAAUCAUUUAUAAUAAAAAAUGAUUGACACGUCUGCAGGUAGAGUA